CGCGUUUGCGCAAUGUGCAACAUAUACAUAUUUUCUGUUAUUGUUGGUGGUUCAAAAAGUGUUUUGUGUAAGUUCACGGUAUUUGUCCUAUUGUGAAUUGUGAUUAUCGGUACUGCGAUAAAUUCAGAAUAGUGUAGUAAAUACCGUUUUGUCAAGAAAACAGCACUAAACCUACAUAACCUCACUUCUACAUGCAAUGCAGAAAAUGCAAUUUCUCAACACAGACAAAAUGAUGAAUGUCCGGGCGCAACCAAAAAAAAGAAGAAAUCGAGUUAGAAAUUGCGGGAGAUACGCAGAAAUUGGAUGAAUUGUUUCAGACUGAUACUAAUGUUUAUUUGUCAGGAAGAGAAAACGUAAAAAAACAUGUAUGCAAUUUUGAAGAAAUUAUUAAUAGUGAACCAAACUGCUUUCAAGUUUUCAGGGCAAGGAAAAAAAUAAGCUCUCUUUUAGUGAACUCACAAUUAACAAGGCUACAAUAUGUCAAGUUAUGUGAUUUCUUAAAAAUUACGAACUUUGUAAGUUAAUUUAAUUGUAGGUACCACACGGAAACGUCACAAAAACGCCACAACUACUGAAAUUUAAAAAAUGGUAGGACCUCAUUAAGCGCAGACAAAAACAAGAAUGAAUUCUCAUCGAAAAAAACAUGAGAGCAAAUAAUUAUUAAUAAAUAUUUCUGUAUAACGAUUGAAAUGUAGCAGAACAUUGUUAAUUCCAUUGACAAUGUAUUUUUAUUUCAUUGUAAGUUGGCAGUGUAAUUUUAUGUUUAAAAAAUUUAUAUUGUGUUUCACAUCAGGUGAUUUUUUAAAUUUAUGCUCUGGUUGCCCAUGAAGCUUAUGCCAGCAGUUUCAGUUUCACUGCUGACAUAAGUGUCAUGGGUAACUACAGCAGAAAUAAAAAAAAAAUCACCUGGUACAAAUUUUCAACGAAUUGGUUCUAGGACAAAUAAUUUUUAAAUGUAUAAAUAUUGCCGCAAUGUUUCAAAUACACUG